UUUGAUCCUGGCUCAGGACGAACGCUGGCGACGUGCUUAACACAUGCAAGUCGAGCGGGAAACUUCGGUUUCCAGCGGCGGACGGGUGAGUAACACGUGGGCAACCUGCCUCACAAUGAGGGAUAGCCCUCCGAAAGGAGGAUUAAUACCUCAUAACACAAGAGAAACGCAUGUUUCUCUUGCCAAAGAAUUUCGUUGUGAGAUGGGCCCGCGGCGCAUUAGCUUGUUGGUGAGGUAACGGCUCACCAAGGCUUCGAUGCGUAGCCGACCUGAGAGGGUGAUCGGCCACAUUGGAACUGAGACACGGUCCAGACUCCUACGGGAGGCAGCAGUGGGGAAUAUUGCACAAUGGAGGAAACUCUGAUGCAGCAACGCCGCGUGAGUGAUG
rnacentral:rRNA from 1 species